AAAGUCGUAACAAGGUUUCCGUAGGUGAACCUGCGGAAGGAUCAUUAAUAUUUGGUUAGAGUCCACUAUUACGAUAGCGGACUUCGACCAAAUAUUCUUAAUUUUUUAAGGAGCAAGAUACCUUUAUAUUUAAAACCCCACUCUUGAAUGUAUAAAAUUUUAUGUAUUAAUGAUAAAUAAAAGAUCACUUUCAACAACGGAUCUCUUGGCUCUC
rnacentral:misc_RNA from 1 species